GUAAAUGGCACUGGAAGAAUUCAC
rnacentral:miRNA from 1 species